CGGACGGGUGAGUAAUGUCUGGGAAACUGCCUGAUGGAGGGGGAUAACUACUGGAAACGGUAGCUAAUACCGCAUAACGUCGCAAGACCAAAGUGGGGGACCUUCGGGCCUCUUGCCUUCGGAUGUGCCCAGAUGGGAUUAGCUAGUAGGUGGGGUAACGGCUCACCUAGGCGACGAUCCCUAGCUGGUCUGAGAGGAUGCCAGCCACACUGGAACUGAGACACGGUCCAG
rnacentral:rRNA from 1 species